AGUGAACGCUGGCGGUAGGCCUAACACAUGCAAGUCGAACGGCAGCACAGGAGAGCUUGCUCUCUGGGUGGCGAGUGGCGGACGGGUGAGGAAUACAUCGGAAUCUACUCUGUCGUGGGGGAUAACGUAGGGAAACUUACGCUAAUACCGCAUACGACCUACGGGUGAAAGCAGGGGACCUUCGGGCCUUGCGCGAUUGAAUGAGCCGAUGUCGGAUUAGCUAGUUGGCGGGGUAAAGGCCCACCAAGGCGACGAUCCGUAGCUGGUCUGAGGGGAUGAUCAGCCAGACUGGAACUGAGACACGGUCCAGACUCCUACGGGAGGAAGCAGUGGGGAAUAUUGGACAAUGGGCGCAAGCCUGAUCCAGCCAUACCGCGUGGGUGAAGAAGGCCUUCGGGUUGUAAAGCCCUUUUGUUGGGAAAGAAAUCCAGCUGGCUAAUACCCGGUUGGGAUGACGGUACCCAAAGAAUAAGCACCGGCUAACUUCGUGCCAGCCGCCGCCGUAA
rnacentral:rRNA from 1 species